rnacentral:rRNA from 1 species
GACGAACGCUGGCGGCGUGCUUAACACAUGCAAGUCGAACGGAAAGGCCCCUUUGGGGGUACUCGAGUGGCGAACGGGUGAGUAACACGUGAGUAACCUGCCCUUGACUUCGGGAUAACUUCAGGAAACUGGGGCUAAUACCGGAUAGGAAUCCUUGCUGCAUGGUGGGGGUUGGAAAGCUUCGGCGGUUUUGGAUGGACUCGCGGCUUAUCAGCUUGUUGGUGGGGUAGUGGCUUACCAAGGCUUUGACGGGUAGCCGGCCUGAGAGGGCGACCGGCCACAUUGGGACUGAGAUACGGCCCAGACUCCUACGGGGGGCAGCAGUGGGGAAUAUUGCACAAUGGGCGGAAGCCUGAUGCAGCAACGCCGCGUGCGGGAUGACGGCCUUCGGGUUGUAAACCGCUUUCAGCAGGGGCGAAGCUUGUGGUGACGGUACCAGCAGAAGAAGCACCGGCUAACUACGUG